GAGGCACCUGCUCCUGCUGAGCUGCUCUGGCUCCAGAAGCUUCAGUGGGACUGGGAGCAGUUGGUCUUAGGCUGGCUGUUUUGCUGGAGACAGGAUCAUUUGGUGUGCCAGCAAAGCCUUAGCACUUGCUCCUCAUCACUUUUUGUCUUGUUUUGCUGAUAUUUCAACGCUCAAGAUGGUAACAACAGGCAGCUUUGGCUGCCCUGGCUUUGAGGGGAGUGAAAGGAUGCUUCCAGAGUGGAAAUCCUGCAGCUCCAGGGAUGUUGGCUCCACCAUCCAUGCCUGACCACUCUUUCAGUAAAGAAACUGGGGGCCAGAGGACACUGACAACAGUGCAGGAAGUCUAAGGACAACCAAGGGUGUUUUGCAGGUAAAGGGGAGCCUUCCAAGCCACUGGUACUGGCUUCUGCUGGAGCCCACCUGCCUCUCUGGACCCUAACGGCCAGCAGCACUUGUGGAGGAGCAGCCAGCACGCCAUGCUCCGGUCAGCAAGGCAGAGCCUCUGACUACACUUGUGAUGAGACACCUCACCCACCCCAGCCCAGCGCCCAUCCGCUGCCAGCACUGCGUAUGCCGCUCUGACCUGCAGAACGAGCCCCAGAACUCCUGCAGAGCAGCGCUGGGUGCAGGCAGGAUGGCUGCACACCCCAUGCUGGCCAGAGUUUAUGCUACAAGAGCACACAUUUUCAUCCUAAGAGCAGGCCUCCCUCAAUCGCUUUAUUGGUCUGAAGUCAGCAUGUCUCUGCUUCUCCUUCAUCUCCUGCCUGCUUUCCUUAGCCAAAAGAAUGCAGACCUGGGCCUUUUCAAGAUCACAGAGCUCCAACUAAUAGCUGCUAACACUGCUGCAGAGGUUGAUAUUUAUGUUUACACUUCCACAAAGCUUAGUAUUUAUAGUUUGCUACAGACACCCUCAAAAACGCGUAUCUGUUCUGUAAGGCCCUUUACCAGCA